GGGGGGGGGGGGGGGGGGGGGGGGGGGGGGCGGGGGGGGGGGGGGGGCGGGGGGGGCGUGCUCUUACGGGUGGCGAGUGGCGGACGGGUGGGGGAGGCCUCGGAACCUGCUUUUGCGGGGGGGAUAACGUAGGGAAACUUACGCUACUACCGCAUACGCCCUACGGGUGAAAGCAGGGGAUCUUCGGACCUUGCCCGCUUGCAUGAGCCGCUGUCGGAUUAGCUAGUUGGCGGGGUAAAGGCCCACCAAGGCGACGAUCCGUAGCUGGUCUGAGAGGAUGAUCAGCCACACUGGAACUGAGACACGGGCCAGACUCCUACGGGAGGCAGCAGUGGGGAAUAUUGGACAAUGGGCGCAAGCCUGAUCCAGCCAUACCGCGUGGGUGAAGAAGGCCUUCGGGUUGUAAAGCCCUUUUGUUGGGAAAGAAAAGCAGCAGGUUAAUACCCCGCUGUUCUGACGGUACCCAAAGAAUAAGCACCGGCUAACUUCGUG
rnacentral:rRNA from 1 species